GAUGAACGCUAGCGGGAGGCCUAACACAUGCAAGCCGAGCGGUAGAGAUUCUUCGGAAUCUUGAGAGCGGCGUACGGGUGCGGAACACGUGUGCAACCUGCCUUUAUCAGGGGGAUAGCCUUUCGAAAGGAAGAUUAAUACCCCAUAAUAUAUUUGAUGGCAUCAUUAGAUAUUGAAAGCUUUUGCGGAUAGAGAUGGGCACGCGCAAGAUUAGAUAGUUGGUGAGGUAACGGCUCACCAAGUCGAUGAUCUUUAGGGGGCCUGAGAGGGUGAUCCCCCACACUGGUACUGAGACACGGACCAGACUCCUACGGGAGGCAGCAGUGAGGAAUAUUGGACAAUGGGGUAGCGCCUGAUCCAGCCAUCCCGCGUGAAGGACGACGGCCCUAUGGGUUGUAAACUUCUGUUGUACAGGGAUAAACCUACUCUCGUGAGAGUAGCUGAAGGUACUGUACGAAUAAGCACCGGCUAACUCCGUG
rnacentral:rRNA from 1 species